ACUCCGUGUUGUGAGGCACUUUCUCGUGAGUUCCUUGAACCUUUCCCAUGUCUCAAAUAGAGACUCCAAUUCCGACUAUACAAAGGACGAGAUCUCAUUCCUAAGCUU